GAUGAACGCUGGCGGCGUGCCUAAUACAUGCAAGUCGAGCGAACGGACGAGAAGCUUGCUUCUCUGAUGUUAGCGGCGGACGGGUGAGUAACACGUGGAUAACCUACCUAUAAGACUGGGAUAACUUCGGGAAACCGGAGCUAAUACCGGAUAAUAUUUUGAACCGCAUGGUUCAAAAGUGAAAGACGGUCUUGCUGUCACUUAUAGAUGGAUCCGCGCUGCAUUAGCUAGUUGGUAAGGUAACGGCUUACCAAGGCAACGAUGCAUAGCCGACCUGAGAGGGUGAUCGCCCACACUGGGACUGAGACACGGUCCAGACUCCUACGGGAGGCAGCAGUAGGGACUCUUCCGCAAUGGGCGAAAGCCUGACGGAGCAACGCCGCGUGAGUGAUGAAGGUCUUCGGAUCGUAAAACUCUGUUAUUAGGGAAGAACAUAUGUGUAAGUAACUGUGCACAUCUUGACGGUACCUAAUCAGAAAGCCACGGCUAACUACGUG
rnacentral:rRNA from 1 species